GCGGGGGUCUCAGCCUGGUUCUUCCUUGUUCCUCGUCCUCUGAGGUAGCAACUGCCUCAUCUUUUCCAUCUAUGGAGUGUGGAAUAUGUGCCCUACUUCAUUCAGGAAUGUUGGACAAACCAGCUAUUUAGAGAGUGAAGGAGAGGAACUUCCGAGAGCAACCGGCCCCCAAGAGAAACCCAGGGACUCCUGCCCUUCGGCAGCUUUGUCCAUGUGCUGCUCACACCAAAAAGCACUCGAGGGUGACCUGCACCAAAAAUGCAUUGCCGUAGUCUGGGCACAGUGGAUCACGCCUGUAAUCCCAGCUCUUUGGGAGGCCAAGGU
rnacentral:lncRNA from 10 species